CUACGGGAUGCUCCAGUGAGGAAUAUUGCACAAUGGGGGGAACCCUGAUGCAGCAACGCCGCGUGGAGGAUGACGCAUUUCGGUGUGUAAACUCCUUUUAUAUGUCAAGAAAAUGACGGUAGCAUAUGAAUAAGCACCGGCUAACUCCGUGCCAGCAGCCGCGGUAAUACGGAGGGUGCAAGCGUUACUCGGAAUCACUGGGCGUAAAGGACGCGUAGGCGGGUUGGAAAGUCAGGUGUGGAAUCCUAGAGCUUAACUGUAGAACUGCACUUGAAACUUCUAAUCUAGAGUAUGGGAGGGGGAGGUGGAAUUAGUGGUGUAGGGGUAAAAUCCGUAGAUAUCAGUAGGAAUACUGAUAGCGAAGGCGAUCUCCUGGAACAUUACUGACGCUAAGGCGUGAAAGCGUGGGGAGCAAACAGGAUUAGAUACCCUAGUAGUC
rnacentral:rRNA from 1 species